rnacentral:lncRNA from 1 species
CAUUUAUAUAAACAAAACCAUUAACCAAUAAAAUUACCCCAAAGGAAGGUCUGUAGUCAGCUGGUGCUCCGCCUUUCUCUCCUCCAAAUUCACCACCAGGUCCUCUGGGACCUCCACGGUAUCCAUCACGAUCACCACCGAAUCUCCUUUCACCAUCAAAUCUAGGUGGCCCCCUAUUCAAAUGCAUUUCAUCAAUCAAAUCAAAAUCCAACACAAAACAUUAACAGAAAAAACUCCGAAACAAUAUCGUUGAGAUGAAUUACCUAGGGCGAUCACCAGGUGGACCGCCAAAUGGCCUUCCAGCUGGCUUAGCCUGCUUUUUCAAAGUAGCAGGCACAAUCUCAGAUGGAAGAUUGAGAUAAGUUCUAAGGAACUCAAUUCCAUCAUUGGUCAAAAACCAGUAAUAGUGCAUCCAAGCAAAAGUUUCCCUAACAUAUUCCCUAGAUUUGAAGCUCUGCAUAAGCUUAAUCACUUGCAGAUUUGGAACAUCAAUCUCAGGGUGCUUAGCCAAAUUGUAAUCCUUCUUUGCAUAGCAAACUCCCUCUGAACAACAAUACAUCUCAUCCAAUUCAAUCAAACACAGCAAAAUAAAAUCACAACAAAACGAAACCCUAAAAAAUCGAACAAGAAUAACAAACCUUGGAAGAGGUAUUUGGAGAUCUCUCUACGGUUCUUCUCUGAAAUGAUCUGAUAAAAUUAAAACAAAAAAAUAUAUAAAAAAUGAUUUGAAGAAUAUGAAUAAUUUCAGAAGCGAGUUUGAAAAGUAAUUGAGAAGAUGAGAUUGGUACCAUGGUUGAAAUGUGCGAUGCGGAGGCUGUAAACAGAGGAACGGCUAUAAAACACUCGCACCCUUUUCUAUCACUUAGCAGCCUGCAACUAAACCCUAAUUUUCUGUCUCUUUUUUAUAAUGGACUUUACGUCAAUUGGGCCUUUUAAUUGGGAUAGCUAACUCUUACCGUAUUUAUUUAAUUUUUUUAUAUUUUAUAUUUUGUAAAAACAAAAACAAGAAUGAUAUUUUUGUUAGUAAAAACAUCAUACUCUUUUGGUUUUUUUGGAAAAAAAUGUUACUAUUUUCAACACUUUUAUUGUGGGAAGUCGGCAUAUUUUCUUUUUAUGAGAAAAAUUUAAUGUAAAGAAUGAUGUCUUAGUCUAAGGUACAAAUGGCUCAAAGAUUUUUUACAAAAUUAUGUAUAUUUAUUUCUCUUUAAAGGUCGGUGAGACUUGAACCCAAGAUUUCUCGAAAGUCAUUGCAUUCUUUAUUUUUAUAUAUAUAAUUUAUUUAUAGUUUUAUUAAAUUUAUACGAGAUCAUUACUAAAAAAAAUUAUGAGAUCGACAUAACAAGGUGUUGCCUUCUACAUUGCCCAAAUUGCUAUAACAAAUUUUGCAACAAAUAUAUCAUAUUUACGUAUCUACAAAGACCUCUGAAUUAGACGAUAUUCUCUUGUUUCUCACGGGCGCCACCUUUUAUUUUAACUUAGUUUUCUCCUCUUCUUCAUCCAUUGAGGAGGGGUGCUUUAUGGUCAAUUUUUGACCCAAAAUCACUCAUCUAAAUCGUUUUUUUUUUUAUUUACCUUUUCUUUAAUAAAAUAAAUUAUUUUCACAAAUAUUUAGUUAUUUUAUUUUUGUGAUUUUGUCGUUGUAUAGAGCAACACUGUAUCCAUGAGGUGGUCAGAAGACUUUUGCUUUGCAUGAUGAAUGUGUGACUUAUACUAUCCAAGUUUUGGGAUGAAUUUAUAUACAUCACGUUUCGUAGCCCGUUGGAUCCCUCCUCCGGAAUGUACUCUCAAACUAAAUGUGGAUGAUAGUUUCCUAUAAGUCUCUCUUUGUAUGGAUUCUGGUGGAGUUGUUCAAAACCACGAUGGCUUACUUUUCUCACUAUGAAGUUGGAGGUGAUACGUUGCUAGCUGAGUUACAUGCUUUCAAUAUUGGUCUUGAAUUUUAUCGCAACCAAUGUUAUAAUAACAUUAUUUGUAAAAGUCAUUGCUUGAGAGCUGUUGAAAUGUUCAUUAAUGAUGGACAAUAUCUAUAUAUAUAAAUCCUAGAUAGUUGUGGAAUUGUCUAUCUAAACUCUAAUCCACAAACCAAUGAAAAUCUUUCAUUUAGCUACAUCAUUCACUUAAAUUCAUUUAAUGUGGGGUACUAUUUGUAAUUAUUAUUAUAAUUAUUAUUAUUAUUAUUGUUAUUGUUGUUGUUGUUUUGGGUUAUUAUUCAUUUUAAUUUUUUUUGUUCAUUUUAUUAUUUUGUGUAUUUUAUUGUUUUUUUUUCAAAAAAGUUAAUGUUUUUGCUAAUAAUCUUUUGUCCAAUCUUUGUAAAUAUAAGGAGUUGGUCGAUUGUCGGGACUACUUUCUAGUGUUAAUAAAAAAAUAGAUAAAAUAAAAUUUACUAAUGGUUGUUAUGCCCUGUAUGAUUUUUUUCAUAUUCGAUAUUUGAGUAUAGUUAAGUUGGUUUAUUUUUGCUCCAAUAAUAUUUGAGUAUAGUUAAGUUGGUUGUUACUAACGUAAAUCUUGAUGGGUCUCAACAACGAUAUAAACUUUCAAUCCAACAGUGAAUUUCGUAAAAUUCAUAUUCGGUAGAUCAUUUGUCCACGGUGAACCACUUGUGAAGGUAGUCCACCGUAACAUUAGCCUAGAAAACAAAUAAGAAAAAAACUAGUGCCCCUAAAUUGAAGUACUUGUUAAGGAACCUAUAUAGUAAAAUAAUCUUCAAACUUGUGUAGCCUUAAAAACCUAUUUAGAUUCCUUAACUAAGUACCCGAAGCAAUAAUUAGCAUUACACUAUUUCNNNNNNNNNNNNNNNNNNNNNNNNNNNNNNNNNNNNNNNNNNNNNNNNNNNNNNNNNNNNNNNNNNNNNNNNNNNNNNNNNNNNNNNNNNNNNNNNNNNNNNNNNNNNNNNNNNNNNNNNNNNNNNNNNNNNNNNNNNNNNNNNNNNNNNNNNNNNNNNNNNNNNNNNNNNNNNNNNNNNNNNNAAAAAUCAAUUAAUAAAAUUCUACAAAAAAAAAAAACAAUGAAUAAACAAAAAAAACAAUUUAUCACUACACAGCUUCAAGUCUUGUCCAAUGCAUAUAUCACCGCCCAUAAGUAUAACUCAUUGUAAACUAGCUACCUUGAACCAAAUUGAUAGAAAUGGUAAAAAAAAAAAUGAACAAGGUUUGUUGUUGUUGUUGAAACAUGUAUAUAUUUUCAAUGUCUAUAUCCUAUAAUGAAUCGUGACACUAUUUAUAGUAGCAGGACAACCAUGAAGAGGAAACGUGAUAGAGAGGUAGGGAGAAAAUAUAAGCGAUUAUAAAAAACAUGAGAUAAUCAGGAAACAUGAGUAAAGGUGAAAGAAAUAAAAAAAAAUAAAAAUCCAUCAAAAUCUCAUAAUACGAGGAAAGACUUUUUGUAGCUCAAAAUUCACUAAAAAGUCCAUCAAAAUCCAUUAAAAUCAUAUUUUUUAAACAAUUCAUCGAAAUUAGAAUACUUUUGAAUACCACAAAACUUUUUGUAAGUUGUAAAGAGUCUUGAUUAAAUACCACUAGACUUUUUUAAAGUCUUUUAAAAUCCUAAUUGAAUACCCCUAGACUUUUUUAAAGUCAUUUAAAAUCCUAAUUGAAUACCACAGGAUUUUAUCAUCAUAAAAAAGUCUUUUAAAAUCCAUUAAAAUCCUAAUUGAAUACACCCCCCUAAGUUUUUUCAGUCGUAACUCAACAACNNNNNNNNNNNNNNNNNNNNNNNNNNNNNNNNNNNNNNNNNNNNNNAACAAUCAGUUCAAAAUUCUCAUUGCAUGAAUAACUGAAUAUUAAAUAAAACGUCAGAGGGAUCAAACAACUUUGGGUGGAGGGGAAAUACUAUAGAAUCUAAUAACACCCAAAACUGCAUGGGCUGGAACAGAAUAGCAUUACAUUUAAGCAUCAUUUGAACUAGUUGGUGCUCCAAAACCACCAGAACCACGACCGAAGCCAGGUCUUCCUGCAGGACCCUACAACAGAGUCCAAAGAAUAAAAAUUGAUCAGGACAAUAUGAUAAUUGAAUUCAAUAAAUGUGGAAAGCAUGAAUAAAAUUUGAAUUACAAGGAAGCCUAAACUUCAAAUUUUAAAAAUAUUCCACCGAAAACAUGAAAUGGUGCUACUUAAUUUGCAGAAGGUAGAGGCAACAUAGUGUAUGUACUUCCUACCAAUAUGUAAAAGAACAAACAUUGUACUCCCUCCGUUCUUAAAUAUAAGCAAAAGUUAAAAUGUAUUUGGCUCUAAAUUUGAGCCAAAUACGUUUUGACUUUUGCUUAUGUUUAAGACCAAAGGGAGUAUCACAGAAUGAAACAAGACAAAACUCCAUUAAUGUCAUAAACAUAGAAAAAACUAAAAAACAAAACUUUGGAUUUUGUGACAUAACAGUUAACUUGGUUUUGCAUAUAAAUAAAUGUCAUUCUAACAUUAAAAUUUGAACAUACAUGACAAAUACACCGGUACAACACAAUAAUAACUUAAUUUGAUUAGAGGGAACACAACCAAGACCCAAGUUAUAUUUUAAGUUAUGAAAUAAGUAUAGUUCCAAAGAAAAAUUGCUACAACUAAUUGCUAACAUUUAAUAUGCAAAAUUAAUUAAAAACUUAAUAUUUUAGAUUGAGAAGUUUAUCUAAAUCGAAUCCAAGACAACUGAACAAUGAAAACUAGACUAAAACAUCAUAAAGAGGACAACUAUCAACCAAACAGUACUAAUCAAAGAUAAUAUAAUAUUGAGGGUCACAAUAUAACAGCAACAUUCACUCACCACCCAUAACCAUGUAAUUAAAGGAAAUUAGCAGAAUAUCAUUACCAAAACACACAUUAACUUAAUGAACAAAAACACAUUUCAAACUCCAUUUAUAUAAACAAAACCAUUAACCAAUAAAAUUACCCCAAAGGAAGGUCUGUAGUCAGCUGGUGCUCCGCCUUUCUCUCCUCCAAAUUCACCACCAGGUCCUCUGGGACCUCCACGGUAUCCAUCACGAUCACCACCGAAUCUUCUUUCACCAUCAAAUCUAGGUGGGCCUCUAUUCAAAUACAUUUCAUUCAAUCAAAUCAAAAUCCAAAACAAAACAUUAGCAGAAAAUAUUCCAAAACAACAAUGUUUAAUCGAAUUACCUAG